rnacentral:tRNA from 1 species
GCUUCUCUGGCGUAAAGGGUAGCGUAGCUGAUUUGUAAUCUUCAGGUGUCGGUUCAAAUCCGACGGGAAGCU